GGAGGCACAGCAGGGCCGCCCGCUGGAGCAGGGAGCAAGCCUCAGCCAGACUGUCUCUCUGCCUCAAUGCAGACUGGUUAUUGGCAAUUUUUAAGCAAUUUUCAGUCGUCUCUGUCAAUAAAGCCACUCUCCUCUCUGCAAGGGGAAUGAAAAUGAGAUUUUGAGGUCUCCGAAAGACUGUCUCCUUUUGCCACUUAUCUGACUAGGAGCCAGGUGCCUAUGGAGGCCAGAAGGGGUCGACAGAUACUCAUCUGGAGUUGGAGUUACAGGCAGCUGUGACCUGCCUGAUGUGGAUGCUGGGAAAUGAACUGAGGUCCUCUGGAAGAGCUAGUUGUCCUGCAUUAUGGCUGCAACUUCAUAUGCUGAAGGUACUGAGAGAGAGCCAGAGUGACAUAGGUUGACAGUGAAAUGGAGAGCGGCUUCCCUGAGAUGGCAGUUUUUUGUUCCCAGAACACAUUCGAAGGAGUGAUGGCAGAAAGACACAGGGGGACUCUUCUGGGGACUCAAGAAAGAGCAAUGAACAGGACAGAUUGGUUCUUGCAUGCUAAUCACAGGAGGUGGUGAUGAACAUGUACAAGAAACUACGGAGCAGCUAGCCCCUUCCUUCAGCCCACACCAGGAUCGUCGGAGAACAGUGUUAUUAUAUCUACAAACUCCUCUCCACCAGCGAUUGCAGCUCAGUGCUAAGACAGACCCUUCCCAGCUGCAGUCAGGUGCGAUGAUACACGGCACUCACCCACUUCUUGCUCCACUGAGAACAUGCGUGUGAUCAGCAUGGCUACAUGGCUGGAGGAGGCUGUCUCAUCGUAGAGAGGCGGGGACUUGAAGCACCUUGGGCUCAGGACUCAACUGCAUAACCCUACUGUUUUGUGGGCUCUGUCAGGAUGCCUUCUCGUGAUCUGUCUGGGAUGCUGCACCUGCAGAGUCUUCCUUCCACUUCCCUAUGGCUACCCCAAUGCUCUACCUUGUCUCUCCUGCCUUAUGCCCAGGUUCUUUGAGAGCCCCCGGACAGUCGUGUGAACCUUGAAGGUGGCUAACAACAUGUAUAUUAAGCCAGACACACGGAUAUGAGAAUUUAUGGGCACAUAGUAGGGCAAAUAGAACACGAAGGAGGUUCUCGGCAUCUGGCCUGGGUGGGAGGGCCCCAGAAUUCAUAGCUAGCCUGAUAUGUAAUGGUGUUUCUUGAUGCUGUGCUGUAAAACCUGGAGGCAGAGGUGCCUGCUUCCAGGGGAAAAAGGAAAUGAAAAAAUGGCAGGGAGUGUGAAAUUCAACUUCUUCAAUACCAUAAUGGUGUUUGCCUCUAGCAUAUAGGUUAAAACACAGACACACUAAAAUAACUAUAGCUACAAUAGUUUGUUAGUGGAUACCCAAUAUCAAAAGAAGUAAAUUGGCUUGUCAUGGUGGCACAAGCCUUAAAUCCCAGCACCUGAGAGACAGAGGCAGGUGCAGCUCUAUGAAUUCCAGGCCAGCUUGGUCAACAGAGUGAGUUCCAGGACAGCUGGGACUACACAGUGAGACCCUGUCUCAAAGAAAAAUUACAGUGUCAAAAGCAUAAAAUGCUGUUAAUAAGAAUUAAAAUUUGGAGAUUUUAUUUAAAAAACUGAGGAAGGGACAGAGGAACUGCAAAACAGACAACCAGCAAAGUGGCAAUUGUUCUAUCUAGCAACAAUUUUCUUAAAUGACAAUGGAUUAAAUUCUCCAACCAGAAGAUGUGGAAUGGCUGAAUGGAUAUGAAAAAUGAAAUCAGCGUGGGGUGGGGAUGGGGGUGGUGGUGAUGGUGGUGAUGGUGGCACACACCUUUAAUCCCAGCACUUGGAGGCAGAGGCGUCUGGAUGGUUGGAUCUCUAAGUUUGAGGCCAGCCUGGUCUACAGAGUGAGUUCCAAUAUAGCCAGGGCUACUCAGAGAAACCCUGUCUUAGGAAAAAGAAAGAAAGAAAGAAAUCAAAUCACAAUGGUUUUGAAUUUUAUGUUACCCAUAAAAUUGCUUUAAGGGCAUACAGGGUAGAGCUGGGCCAGCACUUGGGAGAUGAGGCAGGAGGAUCGAUCAAGAAUUUGAGUCCAGGCUGAGCUGUACAGGAGGUUUUAGGACAGUCAAUGCUAGAUAAGUUGAAACUAUUACAAGAGGCAAAGAAAAUUGUUGUGGUAUAAUAAAAGAGACAAUCCAUCAAGGUGAUAGGGCGAUUGUAAUGUAUAUCAUACCCAACAAUGACGUACCUAAAUAUAUAAAGACAGAUGUCAACAAAUCUGAUGGGAGAAAUGGACAGCAAUAUGAUUAACAGUAACAGACUUCAGUACUCAAUUCCAGCCAUUGGUAGAUCACCUGGUUGAAAAAUCAAUAAAAGCUGUUGGACUCCAGCCACAUGUUAGACCAAGUAGACCUAGCAGACAUCGCUAGUACUUUGCAUCCAGUGCAACUAGGUACACAUGCUUCUGAAGCAUACAUGGCAUCCUUUCCAGGGUGUUUUGGCCACAAAGAAAUCCUAAUCAAUACAAGAAGAUGGAAUCUAUUUGAAAUCUCUUUUCUGAUUACAACAGUAUAUGGUAAAACUAGGAAUUGGUCUCAGAAGCAAAGCUGGAAGAAAAUCCAGUGUUGGUGUCUUAGCCACUGUUCUAUUGCUGUGAAAAGACACUACCCAAGGCAAGUCUUAUAAAGGAAAGCCUUUAACUGGGGCCUUGCUUACAGUUUUAGAGUGUUAGUUCACAAUCAUGAUAGUGGGAUACAGACAGGCAUGGUGCUGGCAAAGUGGCUGAGAGCUUUACAUCCUGAUCCAUAGUCAGCAGGCAGAGAAAGUGACUCUGGGCUUGGUAUGGUCUUUUGAAACCUCAGAGCCCACCCUCAGUGACACACCUUCUCCAACAAGGCCACACCUCCUAAUCUUUUCAAACAGUUUCACUAACUGUGGACCAAACGUUCCAACACAUGAGUCCAUGGGACCAUUCUCAUUCAGACUAUCACAAUGUGGUCUUAAACAACUGUCUUAAGUCCAGUCCAGGCACAAACUGAGCAGCUUAGGGGUAGUUUACACCCAUUUUUCUUUGUCCUGAAGGCUUCUAAGUCCAAGAUAAAACUGAUGGUUUUUGUUGCCCCGAAGGUCCUGAUUUCUUCCCACUGUGCCUUUACCUGGAGGAAGCGGGAAGCCUGUUCUGUAGUCUUUUUGCCAGGGGAGCGAUCCUGGUUACACUCACGAUUUAAUCACCUGCCAAGGGCCUAUCUCCCAAUAAGGAGUUAGGAUUUCAAGGGGAUUAUGUCAUAAGCAUUCAGACUAUAGCAACAAACCAUGGCUUUAAAGAAGAAUUAAAGGAGAAAUUAAAUAUUUGAGACAGGGCUGGAGAGGUUGCUCAGCAGUUAGAAGCACACAGCACUCUUCUAGAGAGCCCAAGGUCCAUUCCCAGCAUCCACAAUGGCCAGCUUACAACUGCCUGUAACUGCAGUUCCAGAGAGACCUGAUGCCUCUGGCCUCCUUGGACAUCUGUACACACACACACACACACAUGCAUAUUCAAACGUAGCCUGACAACCUGAUUUUGAUUCCCAGGACCAAGAUGAUGGGAGAAGAGAACUGAGCCCUCCAAGUUGGUCUAUGGCUUCCACAUGCAUGCUGUGGCACAGGUGUACCCCUCCAACAGGCACACACAAAUAAAUAAAUAAUAAAUAAAUAAAUAAAUAAAUAAAUGUAAUAAUUUUUUUUAAGAAGAAAGCUUUCAAAGAACCCAAUUUUAUACUUCAAGGAACUAGAAAAAGACACUAACCAAAGGAAGUAGAAGGAUUAAAGAUUAAAGUAGAAAUAAAUGAAAUCACAUCUAGAAAAAAAGACACCAGAAAAGAUAAAUCAAAUAAAGAUCCUGCUUUUGAAAAAUUAAAUCAAGUGGAUUGCCAUUAGCUAGACUGAGGGGGAAAAAGACUUAAAAUCAGAAGUGUAAAAGAUACACAGAAACAUGAAGGAUCACAAGAGAGUGUGCAAGAGCUGGAUAGAUAACUCACCAUAAGUGGAUAAUUUACCAGUAUGUACAGUGUACUAAGACCGAGUUCUGAAGAAAUAGAAAAUAGGAACAGCGCAAUAACAAAUAAGGAAAUUGAAUCAAAUGUGUAACAAACAACCCCCGCAAAAAAAAAAAGCCCCAAAUCUCCCAACAAAAAAGCCCAGGACCAGAUGGCUUUACUGGUGAGGAAACAACACUCAGAUGCAUUUUAUGAGGUCAGCAUUAUCCUGUUCUCUAAGUCAGACAAUGACGCUGUAAGAAAAGAAAAUGAUUGGCCAAUAUCUUCAAAGUUAGAUGCCAGAUUCCUCCCUGGAAAUCCCAGCAAACAGCAUUUAAGAACACAUUCAAACACACACUGUGAUCAAAUGGGUCUGACGCCUGUAAAGCAAGGAUGGUUCAACACAUGCAAAUCAAUAAACAGGCAAAGGAUGAAAACUGGAUCGUUGUCUCAGUUAAUACAUAAAAAAAGUUAGAUAAAGUUUAACAUCAUUCCAUGAGAAAAUACUCAAACAUUUAUGUAUAGAAGGCAUGUACCUCAGCAUAAUAAAGCUUCACAAACCCACAGAUAAUAUCGCGGUCAACACUAGAAGUUGAAGUUGCUCAUUAAAGACAAAGAGCAAGACAAGAAUGCCUGCUCCAGCCACUUCUGUUCUGGGCAGAACAAUUAUACAAUAAAAAGCUGUAAAAGGAGAAGUUGUUGCUGUUUGCAGAUGACAUGAUCUUACAUGCAUAGAAUACCAGUGACUCCACCCAAAACUAUUAGAAUUAGUAAAUAAAUAUGGUAUGAUUACAGGACAGAAAAUGAACACACAAAAUCAGUUUUCCAUGCACUAUCAAACAACUAUCCAAACAAACAAACACCCCCAAAGUCCCAUUUACAGCAAACAGUAUCAAAAUGAACGCAGCAAGGCCAGGUGUGAUGUCUCUCUCAUACCUUUAAUCCCUGCUCUGAGGAAGGCUGAGGCAAGGGGAUUUCAACGAGUUCCAGGCCAGCCAGUACUACGUAGUGAGAUUCUGUCUCAAAACAAGCAAACAAACAAAAACAAAAAACAAGGGGCUUGCUUCAGCAGCAUGGGUAACUCCAGGGCAGCUGGAUGGCUAAAAGCACCACUGUCAGUAUUUUACAAUGAUGCUUAUCCAGCAGCAGGGUCAAGUGGUGCUUGGAGAGCUGAGGUAGGUUCUGAGGAUGUUGUGAGCACCCCGCUGAUCUCCAGGAGGGAGUGUUAGCAGCCACAGCUGGCUUAGAAACUUGCAGGUCUGUUUGUUUCAUCAUCCCAACUGUACACCCAGUUGUCCAUAGGUCACUGUAGGUGCUUUGCUCUGUAAUUGUGACGUUCAUGUCAGAGGAAAAGAUGUUCUAUAGAAGUGUAUACCCAAAGGCAAUAAGGUGACUCCCCACACAGAGAUAUGCGCACCCACUCUGCUCUGUGUGCACUCAGUGUUAUUUACAACAGCCAAGAUCUGAAGUAAUCAGUGAGUUUGUCCAUGGUUAAAAGGAUAGAGACCUCUCUCUCUCUCUCUCUCUCUCUCUCUUUCUCUCUUUCUCUCUCAACCUACCCCCUCUCUCCCCUGUAUACAUGCACACAUAUGCACACAUAUAUGUACACACAAAGAUACAAGAUUUGAUUCAGCCUUGAUAAAGGAGGCUGCCACUCAUGAUGAUGUGAAUCUGGAGGGCAGGGCACUGAAUGAAAUAAGCCACACACAGAGAAGAAAACACACACUUGGACUAAAAGGGGCACCUAAAAUGUUAAUUGUGUAGAAACAGAGAGAGUGUUAUCAGGAGCUGGUGGGCAUAAAGGGGAGAUUCUGGUCUAAUGGGACAAAGUUUCAUAUGUGUAGGGUGUCAUUUAUGUAGGGUAAGUCCUGGAGAUCUGGUGGGCAGCAUGGCAUCUCGGUGCAGCUUAGGUUUGACAUUUACUAAGAGAACAGAUUCCAGGUUUCCUUUUUGUUUAUUUGAGACACUUCAUAGCCUGACUGUCCUAUAUAGACCAGGCUGGCCUCAAACUCACAGGGAUACAUUGGCCUCUGCCUCCAAGUGCUGAAAUUAAAGGCACAUACCACUAUGCCUGGCCUCGUAUUCUUAACACACACACACACACACACACACACACACACACACACACACACACACACACACAGACCCCUAUACUGCAUAAGGUGGUAGAUAUGUUAAUUAGCUUGAUUAUGGUAAUCACAGCCUUCUGUAUCAGGUUUCCACAUCCUAAGAUCCAACCAACUGUGGAUAGAGACAAAAAAUAUAGCAUCUCAACUAGAAAUAUGUUCAAGCAUUUUUUUCUUGUCAUCCACUGAAUACAAUAUCCAUUGAUAUUCCA